AACGAACGCUGGCGGCAUGCCUAACACAUGCAAGUCGAACGAGACCUUCGGGUCUAGUGGCGCACGGGUGCGUAACGCGUGGGAACCUGCCCUUAGGUUCGGAAUAACUCCCCGAAAGGGGUGCUAAUACCGGAUAAUGUCUUCGGACCAAAGAUUUAUCGCCUUUGGAUGAGCCCGCGUUGGAUUAGCUAGUUGGUAGGGUAAAAGCCUACCAAGGCGACGAUCCAUAGCUGGUCUGAGAGGAUGAUCAGCCACACUGGGACUGAGACACGGCCCAGACUCCUACGGGAGGCAGCAGUGGGUAAUAUUAGACAAUGGGCGAAAGCCUGAUCCACCAAUGCCGCGUGAGUGAUGAAGGCCUUAGGGUUGUAAAGCUCUUUUACCCGGGAUGAUAAUGACAGUACCGGGAGAAUGAGCGCCGGCUAACUCCGUG
rnacentral:rRNA from 1 species